UUUGUGAGUGAUGAGUUGCACCCUUAGUCAGGUGGCUGGUAGCAGGGGCACAGGUGUCCCGUACCUCUGGGGACACCAAUGUGCACUUGGGCUGUCUGGCUCACC
ensembl:snoRNA